rnacentral:rRNA from 1 species
CCAAUAGCGUAUAUUAAAGUUGUUGCAGUUAAAAAGCUCGUAGUUGAAUUUCGGGGUCAGUAGAUUGGUCAUGCCACUGGUAUGUACUGGUCUCACUGAUUCCUCCUUCCUGAUGAGCCGUAAUGCCAUUAAUUUGGUGUUGCGAGGAAUCUGGACUGUUACUUUGAAAAAAUUAGAGUGUUUAAAGCAGGCUAACGCUUGAAUACAUUAGCAUGGAAUAAUGAAAUAGGACGUUCGAUCCUAUUUUGUUGGUUUCUAGGAUUGACGUAAUGAUUAAUAGGGAUAGUUGGGGGCAUUAGUAUUCAAUUGUCAGAGGUGAAAUUCUUGGAUUUAUUGAAGACUAACUACUGCGAAAGCAUUUGCCAAGGAUGUUUUCAUUAAUCAAGAACGAAAGUUAGGGGAUCGAAGACGAUCAGAUACCGUCGUAGUCUUAACCAUAAACUAUGCCGACUAGGGAUCGGAUGAUGUUAAUUUUUUAAUGACUCAUUCGGCGCCUUACG